AAGUGAUUUCAGCUCUUUCAGUAUUUGUCUAGCAGGUGCUCCAACCCGUGAAAAGCCCCU
ensembl:snRNA U7 U7 small nuclear RNA